AACAUUGUAUUUGUUUAUUGGGGGUCUAGGGUUUUUAAUUAAAGGUUCUGCUGAGAGAUUGAGAGUUGAGAAGCGAGAGAGAUUGAGAUUGAGAUUAAGAGUUGAGACGCGAGAGUGAUCGAAAGGUUGCCUGGAGCGUCCACUGUUGGCAUCACGCUUGUUGCCAUCGAUUGCCACUACUCAUUUGUCUUCCUCGUCUUCAUUGGAAUUGGACAACUACUUGGUUGAUUCUUUUGUUUAGCUAUUGCAGGAGCUCUUUUGAGUUGUGGGACAAUUAUGUUAAACAAUCACAAAUGACGUGAUUAAGGAGGAAUGCGAAGACACUACAUCUGUUGCUUUUUAAAUUUUAUGUAAGUGCAUAAAAUAUACAAUAUCAUAUUGUGUAGUACGAGUAUAUUUAACUGGCUUUUUAGUGGUAGAACUGUUUAAAAUAUUCGAGAUGUGGUGUAUUUUGUUGUGUUCUCUGUAAUGAUAUUGGUUGUUUUGCUAUUGAUAUGAAAUUGAAAUAAUAUAAAUAUAUAUAUAAUUUUUUUUUGUUAGAAAA